AACCUCCGCAAUGUGAGAAAUCGCGACGGGGGGAUCCCAAGUGCCAUUCUUAACGGGAUGGCUUUUCAUUAGUGUAAAAAGCUUUUGGAAUAAGAGCUGGGCAAGACCGGUGCCAGCCGCCGCGGUAACACCGGCAGCUCUAGUGGUAACAAUUUUUAUUGGGCCUAAAGCGUCCGUAGCCGGUUUAAUAAGUCUCUGGUGAAAUCCUGUAGCUUAACUGUGGGAAUUGCUGGAGAUACUAUUAGACUUGAGACCGGGAGAGGUUAGAGGUACUCCCAGGGUAGAGGUGAAAUUCUGUAAUCCUGGGAGGACCGCCUGUUGCGAAGGCGUCUAACUGGAACGGUUCUGACGGUGAGGGACGAAAGUUAGGGGCGCGAACCGGGAUUAGAUACCCGGGUAGUCCUAACUGUAAACGAUGCGGACUUGGUGUUGGGGUGGCUUUGAGCUGCUCCAGUGCCGAAGGGAAGCUGUUAAGUCCGCCGCCUGGGAAGUACGGUCGCAAGACUGAAACUUAAAGGAAUU
rnacentral:rRNA from 1 species